rnacentral:rRNA from 1 species
UACGUAGGGGGCAAGCGUUAUCCGGAUUUACUGGGUGUAAAGGGAGCGUAGACGGCAAUACAAGCCGGAAGUGAAAUACCCGGGCUCAACCUGGGAACUGCUUUGGAAACUGUAUGGCUGGAGUGCUGGAGAGGUAAGCGGAAUUCCUAGUGUAGCGGUGAAAUGCGUAGAUAUUAGGAGGAACACCAGUGGCGAAGGCGGCUUACUGGACAGUAACUGACGUUGAGGCUCGAAAGCGUGGGGAGCAAACAGG